GAUGAACGCUGGCGGCGUGCCUAACACAUGCAAGUCGAACGCUCGCAAGAGAGUGGCGCACGGGUGAGUAACACGUAGCUAAUCUGCUCUCAAGACAAGGAUAACUGUAGGAAACUACUGCUAAUACUUGAUAAGCUUACGGACUGUAGAGGUCUAUAAGAAAAGAUUUAUCGCUUGAGGAUGAGGCUGCGCGCCAUCAGCUAGUUGGUAAGGUAAUGGCUUACCAAGGCGACGACGGCUAGGGGACCUGAGAGGGUGACCCCCCCACACUGGGACUGAGACACGGCCAGACUCCUACGGGAGCAGCAGUGAGGAAUAUUGCUCAAUGGGCGCAAGCCUGAAGCAGCGACGCCGCGUGGAUGAAGAAGGUUUUCGGACUGUAAAAAUUCCUUUUCUGUGUGACGAGAGUGGACGGUAGCACAGGAAUAAGUCUCGGCU
rnacentral:rRNA from 1 species